GAUGAAGAACGUAGCGAAAUGCGAUAAAUAAUGUGAAUUGCAGAAUUCCGUGAAUCAUCGAGGUUUUGAACGCACAUUGCGCCCCUUGGUAUUCCAUGGGGCAUGCCUGUUCGAGCGUCAUUUGUACCUUCAAGCUCUGCUUGGUGUUGGGUGUUUGUCUCGCCUCUGCGUGUAGACUCGCCUUAAAACAAUUGGCAGCCGGCGUAUUGAUUUCGGAGCGCAGUACAUCUCGCGCUUUGCACUCAUAACGACGACGUCCAAAAGUACAUUUUUACACUCUUGACCUCGGAUCAGGUAGGGAUACCCGCUGAACUUAAGCAUAUCAAUAAGCGGAGGA
rnacentral:misc_RNA from 1 species